UUCUCCUUCCUACUCUGCAACCCCUCAGCCUGUUGCAACUUAUGAAAGGUAUCAAAGCCAGUGGAAAAACACCAGGUCUUGAUCUACGAACUCCCUGCAGACAUCCUAGGGGUAUUCCAGGGACAAGGAGGAUGCAUGAUCUCCCAGAAAUUAGUGCCUCCACUGUGACCAGUGUGAAUUAAAACAAAAUUCUAAGAUGCCUGCCAACUGAACAGACUCCUUCUCAGCCAAGAGGAUCCCAGAGGAACGUUAAAACUGAGUUCCCAGCCAUGAUGGAUUGGGAGUAGAGAUGGGGUCUCACUCUUGCUCAGGCUGGUCUC